rnacentral:rRNA from 1 species
CAUGGCUUUUUGAGAAUAAUUUAAGGUUUAGCCUGCCCACUGAUAAGUAUUUAAUGGCCGCGGUAAUUUGACUGUGCAAAGGUAGCAUAAUAAUUAGUCUUUUAAUUGAAGACUUGAAUGAAUGGUUGGACGAGAAAAAAACUGUCUCUGGUGUAUUUUUAUUAAAAUUUUACUUUAAAGUUAAAAGGCUUUAAUAUAUUUAAAAGACGAGAAGACCCUAUAGAGUUUUAUUCAAAAUUUAUAGUUUGUUUUUUGUAAUUUAAUUAAUAUGGAUUUAGAAUUUAGUUGGGGUGAUUGAAAGAUUAAAUAAACUCUUUUUAUUUAUUUACAUAUUUAUAUGAUUAUUUGAUCCAUAAUUUAUGAUUAAAAGAUUAAAUUACCUUAGGGAUAACAGCGUGAUCUUUUUAGAGAGUUCUUAUUGAAAAUUAGGAUUGCGACCUCGAUGUUGGAUUAAAGUUAAUUUUUGGUGAAGAAGCUAGAAAAUUAGGUCUGUUCGACCUUUAAAACUUUACAUGAUCUGAGU